UACGGAGGGGGCUAGCGUUGUUCGGAAUUACUGGGCGUAAAGCGCGCGUAGGCGGCUUUGUAAGUUAGAGGUGAAAGCCUGGAGCUCAACUCCAGAACUGCCUUUAAGACUGCAUCGCUAGAAUCGUGGAGAGGUGAGUGGAAUUCCGAGUGUAGAGGUGAAAUUCGUAGAUAUUCGGAAGAACACCAGUGGCGAAGGCGACUCACUGGACGAUUGUUGACGCUGAGGUGCGAAAGCGUGGGGAGCAAACAGG
rnacentral:rRNA from 1 species